UAGGGAAUCUUCCGCAAUGGGCGAAAGCCUGACGGAGCAACGCCGCGUGAGUGAUGAAGGUCUUCGGAUCGUAAAACUCUGUUAUUAGGGAAGAACAAAUGUGUAUGUAACUAUGCACGUCUUGACGGUACCUAAUCAGAAAGCCACGGCUAACUACGUGCCAGCAGCCGCGGUAAUACGUAGGUGGCAAGCGUUAUCCGGAAUUAUUGGGCGUAAAGCGCGCGUAGGCGGUUUUUUAAGUCUGAUGUGAAAGCCCACGGCUCAACCGUGGAGGGACAGUGGAGACUGUAAAACUAGAGUGCAGAAGAGGGAGGUGGAAUUCCAUGUGUAGCGGUGAAAUGCGCAGAGAUAUGGAGGAACACCAGUGGCGAAGGCGACUUUCUGGGCAGUAACUGACGCUGAUGUGCGAAAGCGUGGAGAUCAAACAGG
rnacentral:rRNA from 1 species